rnacentral:rRNA from 1 species
UACGGAGGGUGCGAGCGUUGUCCGGAAUCAUUGGGCGUAAAGGGCGCGUAGGUGGCCCGGUCAGUUCGUGGUGAAAGCGCGGGGCUCAACCCUGCGUCGGCCAUGAAUACUGCCGCGGCUGGAGCACUGUAGAGGCAGGCGGGAAUUCCGGGUGUAGCGGGUGGAAUGGCGUAGAGAUCCGGAAGAACACCGGUGGCGAAGGCGGCCCGCUGGGCAGUGGCUGGACGCUGAG